AGUUCGGUCCCUAUCCGUCGCAGGCGUAGGAAAUUUGAGAAAACCUGUCCUUAGUACGAGAGGACCGGGAUGGACGUACCUCUGGUGUACCAGUUGUCCUGCCAAGGGCAUGGCUGGGUAGCUAUGUACGGAAUGGAUAAGCGCUGAAAGCAUCUAAGCGCGAAGCCAACUUCAAGAUAAGAUUUCCCACCGCAAGGGUAAGACCCCAGAAAGACUAUCUGGUUGAUAGGUCGAAGGUGUAAGUGCAGCAAUGUAUUUAGCUUAUCGAUACUAAUAGGUCGAGGACUUGACCAAU
rnacentral:rRNA from 1 species